rnacentral:sRNA from 1 species
AAAAACCCUUUAAAAC